rnacentral:rRNA from 1 species
GAACAGACGAGGAGCUUGCUCCUCUGACGUUAGCGGCGGACGGGUGAGUAACACGUGGAUAACCUACCUAUAAGACUGGGAUAACUUCGGGAAACCGGAGCUAAUACCGGAUAAUAUAUUGAACCGCAUGGUUCAAUAGUGAAAGACGGUUUUGCUGUCACUUAUAGAUGGAUCCGCGCCGCAUUAGCUAGUUGGUAAGGUAACGGCUUACCAAGGCAACGAUGCGUAGCCGACCUGAGAGGGUGAUCGGCCACACUGGAACUGAGACACGGUCCAGACUCCUACGGGAGGCAGCAGUAGGGAAUCUUCCGCAAUGGGCGAAAGCCUGACGGAGCAACGCCGCGUGAGUGAUGAAGGUCUUCGGAUCGUAAAACUCUGUUAUUAGGGAAGAACAAAUGUGUAAGUAACUAUGCACGUCUUGACGGUACCUAAUCAGAAAGCCACGGCUAACUACGUGCCAGCAGCCGCGGUAAUACGUAGGUGGCAAGCGUUAUCCGGAAUUAUUGGGCGUAAAGCGCGCGUAGGCGGUUUUUUAAGUCUGAUGUGAAAGCCCACGGCUCAACCGUGGAGGGUCAUUGGAAACUGGAAAACUUGAGUGCAGAAGAGGAAAGUGGAAUUCCAUGUGUAGCGGUGAAAUGCGCAGAGAUAUGGAGGAACACCAGUGGCGAAGGCGACUUUCUGGUCUGUAACUGACGCUGAUGUGCGAAAGCGUGG